rnacentral:tmRNA from 1 species
GGGCUUGUACUGGUUUCGACAGGGGUUUUGCAGCUGGUGAAGCUAUCCGCAUGCAAUGCGUUAAAUGGCAAACUUAAAUAUAAACGCUGAAGAAAAUUUAGCAUACGCUGCUUAAUUAAGCGGCCGUCUGACCUAGUGGACCUACACAUUAGGACCCAGGCGUCGAUUUUGUAGGAAACGACAUAUGCAAAGCUUUGCGCAUGUGGGCGUAAUAUGAAGCUACCAAAGCCGGGAGAGUGUUCGUUCUCGUCCGGUGGAGGGAAUGAAAAAUAACGGACUAUGAUAGUAGAAGAACAGGGAAUAGGCUUUUGGACACGGGUUCGAUUCCCGUCAGGUCCACUA